GCAUGUGAUGACUUCAUCAUUCUUCACUUUGACCUGAGUAUCCAGUGAUGACGACUUUCAGCCUGAGC